rnacentral:tRNA from 1 species
GCCGCUGUAGCUCAGCCUGGUAGAAGAAUCAACAACUUCCAAGAGCAGCAGACUGUUAAUCUGUUGGUCGACCGUUCAAGUCGGUCCAGCGGCG